rnacentral:rRNA from 1 species
GCGGCGUGCCUAAUACAUGCAAGUCGAGCGAACGGACGAGAAGCUUGCUUCUCUGAUGUUAGCGGCGGACGGGUGAGUAACACGUGGAUAACCUACCUAUAAGACUGGGAUAACUUCGGGAAACCGGAGCUAAUACCGGAUAAUAUUUUGAACCGCAUGGUUCAAAAGUGAAAGACGGUCUUGCUGUCACUUAUAGAUGGAUCCGCGCUGCAUUAGCUAGUUGGUAAGGUAACGGCUUACCAAGGCAACGAUGCAUAGCCGACCUGAGAGGGUGAUCGGCCACACUGGAACUGAGACACGGUCCAGACUCCUACGGGAGGCAGCAGUAGGGAAUCUUCCGCAAUGGGCGAAAGCCUGACGGAGCAACGCCGCGUGAGUGAUGAAGGUCUUCGGAUCGUAAAACUCUGUUAUUAGGGAAGAACAUAUGUGUAAGUAACUGUGCACAUCUUGACGGUACCUAAUCAGAAAGCCACGGCUAACUACGUGCCAGCAGCCGCGGUAAUACGUAGGUGGCAAGCGUUAUCCGGAAUUAUUGGGCGUAAAGCGCGCGUAGGCGGUUUUUUAAGUCUGAUGUGAAAGCCCACGGCUCAACCGUGGAGGGUCAUUGGAAACUGGAAAACUUGAGUGCAGAAGAGGAAAGUGGAAUUCCAUGUGUAGCGGUGAAAUGCGCAGAGAUAUGGAGGAACACCAGUGGCGAAGGCGACUUUCUGGUCUGUAACUGACGCUGAUGUGCGAAAG